CCACUUUUUCUUUCUUUUUGAUGCAGUCGAGGGGUAGCAGGCAAGCUUGCUCCGCUGACGACCGGCGAACGGGUGCGUAACGCGUAUAGAAUCUACCUCUUACUAAGGGAUAGCCCAGAGAAAUUUGGAUUAAUAUCUUAUAGUAUACAGACCUGGCAUCAGGAUUGUAUUAAAGGUUACGGUAAGAGAUGACUAUGCGUCCUAUUAGCUAGAUGGUGUGGUAACGGCACACCAUGGCUACGAUAGGUAGGGGCCCUGAGAGGGGGAUCCCCCACACUGGUACUGAGACACGGACCAGACUCCUACGGGAGGCAGCAGUGAGGAAUAUUGGACAAUGGAGGCAACUCUGAUCCAGCCAUGCCGCGUGCAGGAAGACUGCCCUAUGGGUUGUAAACUGCUUUUAUACAGGAAGAAACACUCUCACGUGUGAGAGCUUGACGGUACUGUAAGAAUAAGGAUCGGCUAACUCCGUGCCAGCAGCCGCGGUAAUACGGAGGAUCCAAGCGUUAUCCGGAAUCAUUGGGUUUAAAGGGUCCGUAGGUGGAUGAUUAAGUCAGAGGUGAAAUCCUGCAGCUCAACUGUAGAAUUGCCUUUGAUACUGGUUGUCUUGAGUUAUUAUGAAGUAGUUAGAAUAUGUAGUGUAGCGGUGAAAUGCAUAGA
rnacentral:rRNA from 1 species